rnacentral:rRNA from 1 species
UACCUGCAGCUCAAGUGGUGACCACUAUUAUUGGGCCUAAAACGUUCGUAGCCGGUUUGAUAAAUGCCUGGGUAAAUCGUGUAGCUUAACUAUACGAAUUCCGGGUAGACUGUCAAACUUGAGACCGGGAGAAGCUAGAGGUACUCCUGGGGUAGAGGUGAAAUUCUGUAAUCCUGGGGGGACCACCAGUGGCGAAGGCGUCUAGCUAGAACGGGUUUGACGGUGAGGAACGAAGCCCUGGGGCGCAAACCGGAUUAGAUACCCGGGUAGUCCAGGGUGUAAACGCUGCUUGCUUGAUGUUAGUUGGGCUCCGAGCCCAAUUAGUGUCGGAGAGAAGUUGUUAAGCAAGCUGCCUGGGAAGUACGAUCGCAAGAUUGAGACUUAAAGGAAUUGGCGGGGGAGCACAGCAACGGGUGGAGCGUGCGGUUU